rnacentral:rRNA from 1 species
UACGUAGGGGGCAAGCGUUGUCCGGAUUUAUUGGGCGUAAAGCGCGUGUAGGCGGCCAUGUAGGUCUGACGUGAAAUUCCGAGGCUCAACCUCGGCAGGUCGUUGGAACCAAUAUGGCUAGAGUCCGGAAGAGGAGAGUGGAAUUCCUGGUGUAGCGGUGAAAUGCGCAGAUAUCAGGAAGAACACCAAUGGCGAAGGCAGCUCUCGUGGACG